GAAAUCCACCGAAGAGGAGCACAAAGAAGGUUGGUGGUCAUCAGUGUGGUUCUUUUUUAGGUGCUGCUUAUGUCCUUGGAAAGACGGCAGUUGGUUUUAAAAUGGACACAGCUUUAUGUGAUUUUAAAAAUUUAUAUUCUUCAUUAUGAUGAAUCAGUAAUAAAGUUUUUUUACUUGUAAUGGACAGAGGAUUAAAGGCCCUGCCCGAUGAUCUGAAGAGGCUAUUUUAUAUAUUUUCUUUUUGUAGUAUUUCGGGCUGCUGUGGAUCUGGAAAUAUCAUCUGCUUCUAGAACUUGCACUUUCUUGCCACCUUUUCCUGCACAUCUGCCGACCAGUCCUGAUACUAACAAGGCUGAGUCUUCAGGGAAAUGGAAUGGUCUACAUUCUCCUGUCAGUGUGCAGUCAAGACUUAACCUGAGUAUAGAGGUCCCGUCACCUUCCCAGCUGGAUCAGUCUGUUUUAGAAGCACUUCCACCUGAUCUCCGGGAACAAGUAGAGCAAGUCUGUGCUGUCCAGCAAGCAGAGUCACAUGGCGACAAAAAGAAAGAACCAGUAAAUGGCUGUAAUACAGGAAUUUUGCCACAACCAGUUGGGACAGUCUUGUUGCAAAUACCAGAACCUCAAGAAUCGAACAGUGACACAGGAAUAAAUUUAAUAGCCCUUCCAGCAUUUUCACAGGUGGACCCUGAGGUAUUUGCUGCCCUUCCUGCUGAACUUCAAAGGGAGCUGAAAGCAGCCUAUGAUCAAAGACAAAGGCAGGGCGAGAACAGCACUCACCAGCAGUCAGCCAGCGCAUCUGUGCCAAAGAAUCCUUUACUUCAUCUAAAGGCAGCAGUGAAAGAAAAGAAAAGAAACAAGAAGAAAAA
rnacentral:sRNA from 1 species